ACACAUCAUAUAUUUCAAACUUCAAUAAUCAAACGAGAACUAUAUUCAAAUUUAUGUUUUUUAAUCCUCAUCGAAAUCAUGCUGAAAAGGAACCAACACAAGCACAUUAACUGUGACAUAUGAUAGAUCUCUGACAUAAAAUAAAUAGCCAUAAUCAAACUCAAGUAGACAUCUGUCAUCAAAGAGCAAAUCACGAAAUAAAGACAAAAAAAUAUAGGGAUAACAAAACCUAACGCAUCAAGAAUCUCCAUCCAGUAUUUAGAUAUCCUACCUCACAUCCGUUGUACACUUUGAAGAUUUAUCCUCAACCAAUCUUACAUGCAAAAAAGGUAUGAACACAGAGAAAUCAACACCUAGACAUAAAAAAUUUAAGAACAAUAUUUAAAUUCAAAUAGAUAUCAGUAAUAAAAACCAAGAAUUUAAGAAAGGAUAAGAUAAAUUAAUGAAUUCAAAAACCAAUGGAGCCUUAGUUGCUCAUAACAGGCUCGAUGAGAUACAGGUCAUCACACAAAACUAAACCAAAUCCUGCUGCAGAGAAACAAAUCACAAUUCAAAUCUUAAUGUUCGGUGAUCAACUCCAACUCAACACAGAAGAAAGGUUAUCCCAAGUUGUAAGUCUUCCUAAUCUUAUGAUUUUUAAUACUUUAAUUUUCAGAAAUAAAAUAAUAAUCCCAACUUGUUAACCGUUUUAAUAAAUAGCAUCAAGCAAGAAUCAACAUUAAAGAAAAAGUUUAAGUAUAGAGACAAUAAGACAUUCAAAACAAAGACAGACAUCAACAUUCAACAAGCUCGAUAUGAAACAUAAUCCAAACAUCAAAGCACAUAAACAAAUGACAAUUUAAUCCUUAUGCUUCGUGAACAAAUGUCAAGAAAUCAAAUAAAGAGGAAACUCAUAAGAAAUUAGGUUAUCCUGAAUUAUUGGUUGUUCUAAACACUUUCAGAUUUUAAUCCUCAACCAUUCUUGCAGUCUCAACAUGCUAAAAAGAAAUGAACACAAACAAACUAAGUCGGUAAUAAAGACCAAGAAUUUAAGAAAAGAUAAGAUUAAUUAAUAAAUUCAAGAAAUUAAAAAACUAAGAAUUUAAGAAAAGAUUAGUUGAACUAUUCAAGAAUUCAAAAAUCGAUAGAGUCGCAGUUGCUCAUAAAAGGCUCGAUAAGGUCAUCACAUAAAACAAAACCAAACCCUGCUGUAGAGAAACAAAUCAAAAUUCAAAUCUUAAUGAUUCGUGAUCAACUCCAACACAAAGUUAAAUAGCCUUUCACGUUUAAUAUUCAGCUUCAUGCAGACAAUAGUGCUCAAACAAAUCUUAUUCUCCUAAAGGAUUGUUAACAAGAAGGAUAUACAAUUAAAAUCCAAAAAUACUUAUAUAAAAAAGUACCAAGAGUAAUUCUCCAAUUUGCAGAGCAACAAAGUUUUCUCAUGCUACUACUCUACCCCAAAAACCAAUGCCUUUUAGAUUGAAACAAUUCCUGAUAUGGAAAGCAAGGAAGACAACCAAAGGAAACAUUAUCCCAAGUUGUAAGACAAUUUAAACUGUUAUGAUUUUUAAUACUCAAUCGACAAAUGCUAGAAAGGGAUGAAUGCAAACAGUUCAACCAACUCCUGGAUUUGUUAGAAAAAAGUGAGCCUGACUUGUUAGCCGUUUUAAUUGUUUUAAUUCAUUGCGUCAAGCAAGAAUCAGCAUCAAAUAUAAAUAGAAGAAACAAGAGUAGCAAGAAGUCAAAUCAUCCACCACCAUUGCCUCCACGACCAAAGAAACAUUCAUAGUAUGUCUUCCCUGGAAAGACCAAGUGGAAGUAACGGAGAACAAUUAUGAUGACCUUAAGCACUCAAUAUAAAAUUGAAUAGAAAAAAAAAUACAAGAUCCCAAAUCAUGUACGUUACAAGCUAUCCCACAGUUCUAACACUAUGUUGCACACAAUAUAAAAUACAUACAAUUUGUUUCACAAUUCUAACACUAUAUUGCACACAAUAUAAAAUACAUACAAUUUAUUUCUCGAUCAAAUUCAGAAGCUCAUCAUCGGGUUAAUUAAUCUUCAGUAUGCAAAGAUGUUAGUUGUCCCAAUAUCAUGAUUGAUUCAAUAUGAAGGAGAAAUCUAAAAUAAAGACUCGGCUCGUUGCAUAGUACUAAUUAAUUAAAAUAACAUUUACACUCAGCACGCUGCAUACUACUAAUUAAUUAAAAUAACAAUUACAUGGACUUACUGUCUCAUACCUCUAAACUCUUACAGUGCAUGUUACAAUUAGGCAUGAAAUCCCACUGUACAAGCUUAUCCAGAGAAUAAUAACAAGAAAAACUAAAGUUUCACAGGAUCUCCAUGUUUCCCAAACCUAUGACACAAAUACAUUGUCUCCCUGUAAAGCACAAGAGGAAAUAAAACUAGCAACUAAAUAUAUUUAUAUAUAUAUAUACCUAGAAAAUAUCUGAUAAACACAUCAUAUAUUUCAAACUUGUACACACACAGUUAGUAGUUGGACAAUUCCUAGUCCAAAAAUCCAUAAGGCUUUUGACUCUGCCCAAGCCCUACCCUGUCAAAAAUACCAAUCAAGAAUUUUCAGGGUAAAUGAUAAGAGAUCACCAAAUCAUGUUGUUGGUACUUGAACAAUGAAUAGAGAAUUGAUCACACCAAAAUUUCAUUCGGCCUUUUGCAAAUGAAUAAAUUUUUUAACAGUUCACUGCAAGACAAUUAAGAGAAUAGGUCCCCUGAAAUGAUAUUAUUGACCAAGAUUUUCAUUUAAUCACCUCUGAAAUUACUGAUCCUCUGAAACUCUUGUAAAGCCUGUUACCAACACCCAUA
rnacentral:lncRNA from 1 species